rnacentral:lncRNA from 1 species
CUUGGCGGCCACCGUCGCAGGUGCCCAUCUCUGCUCUUUCCCUUCUUGUUUCCUUCUCUUUAUUUUCAGGGAAGAGAUACUCAGAUCGAAUUCAUCACGAGAAUAUAUUAGCCUCUUGUUUGCCUGCCAAGUUCCCUCUAGGAUUUCCUGAUUUUUGUGUCAAUUUUGGGAAUAACGAAAUGCUGUUCACCUUGUGGUUAGCCGGCUAGAUGUUCUAGUCCUGAUACAGGGUGUGCUAGAGGAUCUAGCUUCUUCUAUUAGUGAGUAAAUAUUCACCUCAAGGAGAGUACCAAUUGCCAUAUGUUGUUGACAGGUUAUUUGGUUGGGGAACACAAUUACAGUUUCAUGUCCUGAAUCUAAAUUAAUUGUUUCUCACCGUAAUAGUCAUGAUGUUUUUCCUUUUCUUUUAUAAAAUAUAGAAAGACUGGCAAAAGCUGCAACGGAAGUGAACUCACUAUCUCAGGAAGCAACCAUCAAGACUGCUCUGCAAGGCGAGCUGGGCGGCUAGAGGUGCAUCGUUGAGCAAGUUUCUUUUACUGAAUUUAGUUAGCACUUUGACAUAUAAAAAAUACUAUAUAAAUUGGAAAGUGCCACCUUGAAGAUGGAGUGCACAAUUUGAUAUUCAGAAAAAUUGUUGCAUGAUCUGAGCCUUUUUCUGUUUGGUUAUCUUCUAGUCAUGGUUCAUGGUGACAGUAACUUAUCUUGUUUCUUUUCUCCGUUCCUUUCAUAGAUCAACAACUGCUGAGCAGGCAGUGAACUUGACAUGUCUUUGCACUUGCAACAACAACAGGGGACAUAUUGUACUAGUCAAGUCUUGC